rnacentral:misc_RNA from 1 species
ACUCUGGUUUUGCAGUUUCGCUCUAUGGGUUUCCAUUGCUUCAGUAAACGCCGUCGGAUGUCCGAACGGAUUUCUUCAACAUGAUGACUCCUGUUACAAGUUCUUUCACUCAACAAGAGCAACGUGGGCGGAGGCCAUGCUCUACUGUCAGUUAUUCAAGUCACACCUUGCCGUUAUUGAGACCCAAAGAGAACAGAACUUUGUUGAAGGACUGCUACGUCGAGACUAUCAGACAGGUAACCAGGCAUGACCCUCCAUUAUCACCUUCAUUUACCACUUUCUACAGCUAUAGUAAUAACGUCACAUGUAGCAUUGGAAUCAGCAUGUUAAUAAAUUAUUUCUGUCCAACAAGAACCAAUCCCAGUAAAUUCAACCUGCAUCUUAUUUUGCAUGGACAUAUUUAGGAUUAAUUUAACAUUGUUACCCAGGUGAGCGAUCUGGCCUCUAAGCACAUGGGGCAUAUUGUUUCGACCAUCAGGCAUGUUGAAUUUCUUUCCGACCAGAAGCAGCCUAAGCAAAUUAAAUCUGUAUCUUAUUUUAAAUUAAUUAAUUUAAUUUUGUAUAGAAAAGUAUGUUACCCUGGUAAGCGAUGCGGUAUGUAAGCCCAUGGGGCAUUUUGUUCUUUCUAUCACUAUUUACAGCCUACAUACCUUAUAAAUUAUCAAUUAUUUUAAAAUUCAUGUACGUGUGGAAACGAAGGUUUGCCAGAUGGCUGUUGGAUCGACGGGACAGACGCCCUUGUAGAAGGCGAGUGGAUCUGGACAACCACGGGUAAGGCCAUCGCCACUGAUGACUACCAAAAGUGGUUCCCCGGGGAGCCCAACUCUAAUGGGAGGGGCGAGGACUGCAUGGGCCUCCUCCAUCACGAGAACUACAACUGGAGCGACGAGAGCUGUGAGGUCAUGAAUAACUUCCUCUGUGAGGCUAGCUUAGUUGAGACGGAUACAGUCAUAGGAUAGACCUAUCAAAGUGACACUGAAGGAAAUUCAAAUUUAUAAAAACUUUUUUCGAAAUAAAAGAUUUUGCUGUGUC